rnacentral:rRNA from 1 species
UACGUAGGGUGCGAGCGUUGUCCGGAAUUAUUGGGCGUAAAGAGCUCGUAGGCGGUCUGUCGCGUCGAUCGUGAAAACUUGGGGCUUAACCCUGAGCUUGCGGUCGAUACGGGCAUGACUGGAGUUCGGCAGGGGAGACUGGAAUUCCUGGUGGUAGCGGUGAAAUGCGCAGAUAUCGGGAGGAACACCAAUGGCGAAGGCAGCUCGCUGGGACGUUACUGACGCUGAGACGCGAAAGCGUGGGGAGCAAACAGG